UACAAUACAGAACCUUUUUCUCAUGUCUUCUUCUUUAAUGUUUGAACAGAGAAACCAAAAAUAAUGGCCUGCCCUUCAUGUUUUGCUUCAGUUGUUUGAACAACACAGACCCUUCCACAAUGAUCUCAUCUUCCUCAUGAACCAACACCCUAAAACCCUAGCAACCUAGCUCCAACCACCAAGCUACCGCCGCCGCUUCUCCCUCCUAUAAACCUACAGCGAGCUUCCUCGUCUUCUUAGUAAAAACCCAGAAAAAACACUACGAUGGCUCACCUUUG
rnacentral:lncRNA from 1 species